rnacentral:lncRNA from 1 species
AUAUUAAACCAGUUUAUUAUUAUUUUGUAUAAAUGCAUGUUUUCAAUAAUUUCUAAUGAAGUACUCAAAAUAUUCCAAAUUUCACAUUUUCCUAAUUGUUUAACAUUUCAAGGAAGGAGAAAAAUAGAUUUAAAGACUAUCGAGGGUGCAUUAUUAAAAAAAAAAUUCAUUAUUACAUGUACAAGGUGUGAUCAGAAAAUACGGGAACUUAUCCGAGAGAGGGCAGGUAAUUCUUUGCAAACUUUUCAGCCGUUUUUUUAUCCUGCAUGGCUCAACUACAAACACCACUAAUUUCAAAUUGUUUCAUUUAGUUAUUAAAAAGAUAUUAGUGGUAGUGUGUUGCUUCGAUUUAUAUUGCUUAUGAUUUUUUAAAUAUGGAUGUGUUAAGAGCAACAUAUAUGCAUAAAAUUUUGCAUUAAACUUGGAAAAAUGAACU